rnacentral:lncRNA from 1 species
UGAUGGUUUAUUUAUUCAUGGAUCCCUUUCAUCCAUGAAUCCCCAUGUUUUCCCCAAUUUAGAAAAAGAAUUUCCCAAGUCAAUCUAGGGUUUCUUCUAAUGUUAUGGGUUAUGAUCCAAUAAAGUGGACUAUGAUUGUUUAUGAUUAUUUAUAAUGGAAUUGCAUGUUUUUAGUAUGAUUAUACAUGUAUUCUUGAUUAACCUAUGAUUCUAAGGUGAAAUUGAUAUAGUCUGGUUUUAUGCCAUGAAAGGGGAAAUUGAGGACUUAUAUUUGAUCUUCUAAGAUUGAUGAAUUACUUUAUGAAUUGCUUAAGAUUAUAGCACCUAG